GUUUUAAGCCUGUUCUCACCUGAUCAGCAACUGAACAGGCCCAUUGUAACUGCAAGGACAUCAUCUUCCCUGCUAUGAUGGGCUGUGUCCCCUGAACUGUGAACCAGAAUAAAUAUUUCCUCCUAAAUUGCUUCUUGGAAAUUCACACAAUAGAAAAAGUGACUACCACAGUCUUCCUCAGUACCCCAGAGUGGCCUGGAACCAGGCACCUCCAUCAGCUCCAAGUGCCAGGAACUGAGUUUUGGAUAAUCACAGUGGCCACUAGAAUGAUGAUGCACUGUCCUCAUGUUUCCAAAAGACGUCAACUGGGAAGUUCACACUUCGUCAUUUUCAUUGUGUGAACAGCCACAUAUUCAGGUCACCACAUGCAGACAGCCUCGAACUCUGUCAUGGCACCUGGAUGCUGGUGGAGCAUGGCAUGUUGCAUCACAUGCCCUUUCGUUAGAUGAGAAAACGGAGGCACUGCUGGUCCCAGGUCACAGUACAGCAAGGGAGGAACCAACUUGAAUCCCAUCCAGUGGCCCUUCCCAGACCUGAUCCAGCAGGCACUGAGGUCUCACACAAGAAGGAAGCUGCUUUUGGUGGUGAUAUGAGAAGCAGGAACCAGAUGUGAAUAGAUGCAGGCUCCAGGCAGCAGAGCGUCAACCAGAGUGCACCCCUCCCUUGGCUCCAUGAUGCAUCAUCAUCUGUGACCCUAGAAUAUCAUGAUGCCUACAUGUCUCAUUUAUAAAAUCACCCUCAUGACAGUGGGGGGGAAGGAAAGCAAGGCUGGAUACAUGACAGUGACUAUGUAGCAUGUAUGCCUCCCUGAGCCCAGCUUGCCAGGCGGGUGUGAGCAGUACUGGGCUCUGAUGAUCAAGCCCACAGGCCCGGGUCUGGGAGGCAACACAGGAACUAAAUUCCUACUCCCAUCUCUUGGGCUCUAAAUAAAGUCAUUGCCAUAUUGCAGCUGUGGGGCAUCCUAAAUGGACUGGAGCUCCAUCCCUAGUCUAAUUUCAAGGUCUUGAGAGUGGGCAUAAAGAGCAAGACUGGAGUAAGGAGGAGACAAGGCUAGAACUGAUAGGUUAAAGGAGACUCCGAAUGCCAGCUUGCCUAUAAACAUAAUUCCCAAUGGCAGGAGGUGUGGCUUAGUGGUAGAGCUCUGCCUAGCGUGUCCAAGCUCCAGCACCACCCAGGUGACAGAUAUACAAACAAAUCAACUACCACUAUAAAAAGCAAGACCUUACCCAUGUUACUUUUUUCUCCUGUGUAUUGGUGGUAAUAAACACAUUGUUGUUCUGUGCUCGCACAGUA